rnacentral:misc_RNA from 1 species
AACUUUUGACAACGGAUCACUUGGCUCUCGCAUCGAUGAAGAACGCAGCGAAAUGCGAUAAGUAUUGUGAAUUGCAGAAUUCAGUGAAUCAUCGAAUCUUUGAACGCACCUUGCGCCCUUUGGCUAUUCCGAAGGGCAUGCCUGUUUGAGUAUCAUGAACACCUCAACUCUCAUGGUUUUGCCAUGAUGAGCUUGGACUUUGGGGGUCUUGCUGGCCUAUGGUCGGCUCCUCUUAAAUGAAUCAGCUUGCCAGUGUUUGGUGGCAUCGCAGGUGUGAUAACUAUCUACGCUUGUGGCUUUCCGUCAAGUAACCUUCAGCGAUGGAGGUUCACUGGGGCUCAUAAAGGCCUCUCCUCAGUGAGGAACGGCUCCUUUUGAAUGUUUGAUCUCAAAUCAGGUAGGACUACCCGCUGAACUUAAGCAUAUCAAUAAGCGGA